rnacentral:piRNA from 1 species
UGAAAAGUCCUACCCUCGAGCUCACCU